AGCGGACGCUGGCGGCAGGCUUAACACAUGCAAGUCGAGCGGGCAUCCUUGUGGUGUCAGCGGCAGACGGGUGAGUAACGCGUGGGAACGUGCCCUUCGGUUCGGAAUAACUCAGGGAAACUUGAGCUAAUACCGGAUACGCCCUUUUGGGGAAAGGUUUACUGCCGAAGGAUCGGCCCGCGUCUGAUUAGCUAGUUGGUGAGGUUACGGCUCACCAAGGCGACGAUCAGUAGCUGGUCUGAGAGGAUGAUCAGCCACACUGGGACUGAGACACGGCCCAGACUCCUACGGGAGGCAGCAGUGGGGAAUAUUGGACAAUGGGGGCAACCCUGAUCCAGCCAUGCCGCGUGAGUGAUAACAGCCUUAGGGUUGUAAAGCUCUUUUCUCCGGGACGAUAAUGACGGUACCGGAGGAAUAAGCCCCGGCUAACUUCGUG
rnacentral:rRNA from 1 species